rnacentral:rRNA from 1 species
GUCUACAGUCAUAGCACACUGAACUUGCCCAGUCUCAUCUGAUCUUGGAAGCUCAGGAGAGUUAGACCUGAUUAGUACUUGGAUGGGAGAUGUCUGGCAGUUAUGGGCC